rnacentral:rRNA from 1 species
GACGAAGGUGGCGAGCGUUGUUCGGAAUCACUGGGCAUAAAGCGCACGUAGGCGGCGACGUAAGUUGGGUGUGAAAUCCCUCGGCCCAACCGAGGAACUGCGCCCAGUACUGCGUUGCUUGAGGAUCCAAGGGGUGCAUGGAAUUCCCGGUGGAGCGGUGAAAUGCGUUGAUAUCGGGAGGAACUCCGGCGGCGAAAGCGGUGCACUGGUGAAUUACUGACGCUGAGGUGCGAAAGCCAGGGGAGCAAACGGG